UCUUGUUCUGAUUUUGGUUAUUAUGUUAACUUAAAUUGUUAUGCAUCGUUUCAUUUCACUCUUCUGUUUAAUCAAAAUUGUUGUUAUGCAUCGUUUCAUUUCACUCUUCUGUUUAAUCAAAAUUGUUGUUAUGCAUCGUUUCAUUUCACUCUUCUGUUUAAUCAAAUGGUUCACCAUGUAGAUAACAUCAUAGCUUUCAAUUCAAUUCUGUGUUACACAAAACAUCAAUUUCACCAUAUAGAUAACAUCAUAGCUUUCAAUUCAAUUCUGUGUUAGCCAAAACAUCAAAUCCACCAUAUUGAUAACACAGCUUUCAAUUCAAUUCUCUGUUAGCCAAGGCAUCAAAUAAUAGAUUGCCAAAUUGUGUUUCUAUUUCAUUCAUUUAGACAAUUUUCACCCAUUUUCCCAAUCAAAGGGAAAAGGAAAAUAUUUACAACAUGCCUAUAUUCUACAAAAAUGUCAAUACUGAUCUAUGUUAGUCUCUUGCACUUGCACAUUUAUACACCAUUGAUGCCUGAAGUAAUAUGCAAGAAAACAUGUUCCGUGCAAGGAAUUGUCAGACCACCCAUUCGAUGAUCAUAUCCGAAUUCUUCCUCUGCUUCAGUCAACAAUUUUUGAAAUGAAGGUUGGUUCAAGUAUGAUGUGGGGAUCACAAACCUCUUCAUUUCCUCACCAACGUACACCGCAAGAUACCCCUUUGGCACAUUUGUCACUUUUGAUGAUGUUUGGCUAUUGCUAAAUGAAGCCCGUCUAAUAGCUGCAGUUGAGGCGAAUUAAUUAUAGGCCACUGAGGGGAGAAGCUAGGAACUUUUGAUUAAUCUUUUGAUUAACAAAAUACAAAUAUAGUACACUUUCAUAAGUAGUGGAGGGCUGCUAGGAAGUUAGACUAAAGGGUUGCCACUCAUUGCGUGCUUUCGGACAACAACUUCGACGACAAGUCCACGUGAAGAGCAUGAGAAGUCUUUGUGAUUGUGGUCCUUACCACCUUCUUCAAGCAUCACUACAAAAAUGCAACAUAUUGUGUGAUAAGUUAUUGGUAGGUGGUGUUCAUGACGAUUUUGAAAUUGGGGGUGUCUCCUACUUCAACCAAGUAUUAUGUAUAGUUAAAUUCUUGUUCUGAUUUGGUUAUUCUAUCAUUGUUAUUGUUAUGUAUACUUUCAUUUCACUCUUCUCUCUAAUUCAUAUAUUCUUCACCAUAUAUAUAACAUCAUAGCUUUCAAUUCAAUUCAAUUCUUUGUUAGACAAAACAUCAAUUUCACCGUAUAGAUAACAUCAUAGCUUUCAAUUCUAUUAUGUGUUACAAAAAACAUGAAAUAAUAGAUUUCCAAAUUGUGUUUCUAUCUCAUUCAUAUAAGACUGUUUUCACCCAUUUUCCCAAUAAAAAGGGAAAAGGAAAAUAUCUACAAAAUGUCAAUACUAAUCUAUGUCACUCUCUUGCACUCCCUUAUUCAUACACCAUUGAAGCCUGAAGUUAUAUGCAAAAACACAUCUUCUCUGCAAGGAAUUGUGAGGCCACCCAUUGGAUGAUCAUAUCCAAAUUCUUCCUCUGCUUCGCUCAGCAACACUUGAAAUGAAGCUUGGUUCAAGUAUGACAUGGGGAUCACAAACCGCUUCAUUUCUUCUCCCACGUACACCGCAAGACAUCCCUUUGGCACAUUCCCUACUUUUGAUGAUGUUUGGCUGCUACUUAAUGAAGCACGUCUAAUAGCUGCAGUUGACGAGAAUUCAAAGUAAAGGGUUGUCGUUUGCCGUUGAUAAGUGGGAGAGCUGCUAGGAACUCAGUAAAGGGUUGCCACUCAUUGCGUGCUUUCGGACAACAACUUCGACGACAAGUCCAUGUGAAGAGCACGAGAAGUCUUUGUGAUUGUGGUCCUUACCACAUUCUUCAAGCAUCACUAGUAAAAUGCAACAUAUUAUGUGAUCAGUUAUUGGGAAUAGUAAGACCGCCCAUUGCAUGAAAGUAACCAAAUUCCUCUUCAGCUUGACUAAGCAAUUCUUGAAAUAAAGGCUCGUUUAAGAAUGAUAUUGGAAUCAUGAACCUCCUCGCUUUCUCUCCAACAUACACUACGAGAUAGCCUUUUGGGACUGCCACUUCUUUGCUAGAUGAUUGGAUUGCACUAAAUGAUGAUCGUCUAAUACCAGAUCGUAUAUCAACAUUAAGCUGUGUUGUCAAUAGGAAGAGAACAUGUGCCAUGUCUGAUGCAUGUCUGAAAAUAAAUGAGUAGGCAUUGUACAAGUAUUGAGUUUAACAAGCACACAUCUCAUUUGAUUUUCA